GACGAACGCUGGCGGCGUGCCUAAUACAUGCAAGUAGAACGCACAGUUUAUACCGUAGCUUGCUACACCAUAGACUGUGAGUUGCGAACGGGUGAGUAACGCGUAGGUAACCUGCCUGGUAGCGGGGGAUAACUAUUGGAAACGAUAGCUAAUACCGCAUAAUAUUAAUUAUUGCAUGAUAAUUAAUUGAAAGGUGCAAUUGCACCACUACCAGAUGGACCUGCGUUGUAUUAGCUAGUAGGUGAGGUAACGGCUCACCUAGGCGACGAUACAUAGCCGACCUGAGAGGGUGAUCGGCCACACUGGGACUGAGACACGGCCCAGACUCCUACGGGAGGCAGCAGUAGGGAAUCUUCGGCAAUGGACGAAAGUCUGACCGAGAAACGCCGCGUGAGUGAAGAAGGUUUUCGGAUCGUAAAGCUCUGUUGUAAGAGAAGAACGGGUGUGAGAGUGGAAAGUUCACACUGUGACGGUAUCUUACCAGAAAGGGACGGCUAACUACGUG
rnacentral:rRNA from 1 species